UGUGCCGUGUGACAGCGGCUGA
rnacentral:miRNA from 1 species